rnacentral:rRNA from 1 species
GACGAACGCUGGCGGCGUGCUUAACACAUGCAAGUCGAACGGAGUGGCGAACGGGUGAGUAACACGUGGGUGACCUGCCUUGCACUUCGGGAUAAGCCUGGGGAACUGGGUCUAAUACCGGUUAUUGUGGGUUGGGCCCGCGGCCUUUCAGCUUGUUGGUGGGGUAAGGGCCUACCAAGGCGGCGACGGGGAGCCGGCCUGAGAGGGUGGACGGCCACAUUGGGACUGAGAUACGGCCCAGACUCCUACGGGAGGCAGCAGUGGGGAAUAGUGCACAAUGGGCGGAAGCCUGAGGCAGCGACGCGGCGUGGGGGAUGACGGCCUUCGGGUUGGAAACUCCUUUCACCAUCGACGCGGUAGAUGGAGAAGAAGCACCGGCUAACUACGUGCCAGCAGCCGCGGUAAUAC